GUGGGGAGGAGAGAGGGACAGAGAGCCUGCUUCUUUAAAGGAGCAAAGCGGGAGAGGAGAGGAGUCCGGUUGGCUCCUUUAAAGCAAGCAGGCUCUCUGUCCCUCUCUCCUCCCCAC